UGAGGAAUACAUCGGAAUCUACUCUGUCGUGGGGGAUAACGUAGGGAAACUUACGCUAAUACCGCAUACGACCUACGGGUGAAAGCAGGGGAUCUUCGGACCUUGCGCGAUUGAAUGAGCCGAUGUCGGAUUAGCUAGUUGGCGGGGUAAAGGCCCACCAAGGCGACGAUCCGUAGCUGGUCUGAGAGGAUGAUCAGCCACACUGGAACUGAGACACGGUCCAGACUCCUACGGGAGGCAGCAGUGGGGAAUAUUGGACAAUGGGCGCAAGCCUGAUCCAGCCAUACCGCGUGGGUGAAGAAGGCCUUCGGGUUGUAAAGCCCUUUUGUUGGGAAAGAAAUCCAGCUGGCUAAUACCUGGUUGGGAUGACGGUACCCAAAGAAUAAGCACCGGCUAACUUCGUGCCAGCAGCCGCGGUAAUACGAAGGGUGCAAGCGUUACUCGGAAUUACUGGGCGUAAAGCGUGCGUAGGUGGUCGUUUAAGUCCGUUGUGAAAGCCCUGGGCUCAACCUGGGAACUGCAGUGGAUACUGGGCGACUAGAGUGUGGUAGAGGGUAGCGGAAUUUCCUGGUGUAGCAAUGAAAUGCGUAGAGAUCAGAGGACAUCCAUGGCGAAGGCAG
rnacentral:rRNA from 1 species